rnacentral:lncRNA from 10 species
AGCUUGCCCAGCCCUCGAGUCUCAGAGAAUGGAGCCCUUGCUGCCCUUUCUGCCUGAGCACUCACAGCUCAUUAAGAAGUGGAAGCACACGUCUGCAAUCACCGUGUAAUUACCUUGCUUCCUAAUUGGCAGCAGACAAGGCCGGCAGUCCCAACUGCAGCAGUGGACACCCUGCCAUCAGAAUCUGCUGGGGAGCUUUUCCAGAGUGUGGGUGUCAGUCCCACCCUGGCCUACUGGAUCGGAACCCAAAACCAAAAGCCCUGCCUCAGCGAGCAAGUUCAAAGUCAUUGGCCCAAAGGAAAAACUCCAAGUCCUUUGUUGGUCAUUCAGGGUGGUCAUGAGGGCUGACUGAGGAACAGGCUGUGCACACGCAGCUCAGGACCUUGUGAGAGCAUCAGGCCUGCCAACAACCCCAUGGUACAACAAGAAAAUGGCUGUGCUGGAGCCCUGGACGCCGGAAAUCUGAGAUGAAGGUGCCGGCAGGGCCCUGCCCGCUCUGAAGUCUCUGGGGGAAGCUUCUUUGCCUCUUCCAGCUUCUGGUGGCUCCACGCACUGCUGGGCUCGUGGCUGCCUCCCUCUGGUCUCUGCCCCGGUCUGCACGUGGCCUUCCCUGCGUGUUUCUGUGUCCUUGCUGCUGCUUAGAAGCACAGCAGCCAUUGGAUUAGGACCCACUCUCAUCCAGCAUGGCCUCAUCUUAACUCAUUACGUCUACAAAAUCUCCAUUUCCAAAUAAGGUCCCAUUCUGGGGUCCUGAGUGGACACGGCGGGGACACCAUCAACCCAUCCUAAGGCCUUCUUGGGCAGCCUCAGGGGGAAGCCGGACCAGCCUUAAGUGAAAGUGGAGGGUUCCAAGGAUCCUACAAAGGGGCCCUGACCCAGUCGGUGGGCAGCAGGGGACAGAGUGGACGUGGAACUUGUAGACAGACAGAACGAUGCACAGGACUCACCCCCACCACCAGAGGUCUGUGUGCAGAGACGACAGAGGGCAGCGUCCCUCCCACUGCCCAUCACCCAUGGAGUGUGGAAAAUCCCGGUCAAGACAGCAGCCCGGGCCGUGAAAUCGA